rnacentral:rRNA from 1 species
UACAGAGGCCCCAAGCAUUACCCGGAUUUAUUGGGCGUAAAGGGUGCGUAGGCGGUGUGAUUAGUCUUUUGUUAAAACUCCCGGCUUAACCGGGAGCUCGCAAAGGAAACGGUCAUACUAGAGGAUGUGAGAGGUGAAUGGAACUCAAGGUGUAGGGGUGAAAUCCGUUGAUAUCUUGGGGAACACCAAAAGCGAAGGCAGUUCACUGGCACAUUCCUGACGCUGAAGCACGAAAGCGUGGGUAGCGAAUGGG